CCGGAAGGAACAUAUGAAUCGAAGUCAAAGGCCUUGAGUCCUAAACAAACGAUUUUGGCGCAAAAAUUCACAUUUUACUAGUUGAAGCUAGCAAAGACUGACGCCAACAUGGAAAGCAAAUGUGACAUUUCUUCAUCCUCGAAAACAUUCAACAAAAUCUAACAAGGGGGCGAUGUUUUACAAGCACAUCAGACACUCCACUCAUCACAGCAUCACAGCGCUCUCCUUCCAGCUCUAAGUGAGACUCGACUACACACUCUGAGACUACAGAAGACGAAGCCGCUGAGCCACAAAUACCUCUGGAAGCUAAAGAAGGAGCCAGAGGUUUUCAGGAUGAGGCCCAACGAGUGCCUGCAGGUACGCAUGACGCUUUCAAAAUGAACUACUAUGUGAACUUUUUUUCAGUCGUAU
rnacentral:lncRNA from 1 species